rnacentral:rRNA from 1 species
GUAGGUGGCAAGCGUUGUCCGGAAUUAUUGGGCGUAAAGCGCGCGCAGGCGGGUCCUUUAAGUCUGAUGUGAAAGCCCACGGGCUCAACCGUGGAGGGUCAUUGGAAACUGGGGGACUUGAGUACAGAAGAGGAAAGCGGAAUUCCAAGUGUAGCGGUGAAAUGCGUAGAGAUUUGGAGGAACACCAGUGGCGAAGGCGGCUUUCUGGUCUGUAACUGACGCUGAGGCGCGAAAGCGCGGGGAGCAAACAGGAUUAGAUACCCUGGUAGUCCACGCCGUAAACGAUGAGUGCUAAGUGUUAGGGGGUUUCCGCCCCUUAGUGCUGCAGCUAACGCAUUAAGCACUCCGCCUGGGGAGUACGGCCGCAAAGGCUG